CCGACCUUAUGUAGGUUUGCUGCUGAGACAAGAUGCCGAUUUCUUUCCAAUCUGCAUUACCUUUCUACUUGUGUGCUGCUGUAAAAAAAAAAGAAAAAAACGUACUCCUAAAAACAUACUCCUAAAAUAAAAUAAUUAU